GGAAAAUUCAUUUUUAAAGCUGGGCUUUUUUACAUAGUCUAAGCAGGCUAUAUCAAGGAAGAACAAUUAGAAAAUUAAUAAAAUCAGAGUCCUGUUUGAAUUUUGACUAUGAAAGUAAAUUCUUUGUUAGCUUAUGUCCCCCUUUGUGUCUUGAUUAUAAGAAUUGGGAAUAAUAAAAUAUUUCUGGACCUGUAUCCCUUUGGAGAAACCCUUCACCUUUUGAAAACAUCUAAGGAAGUUGGAGAACAGAAUUAUUUACUUCCACACUUGAAGGAAGAAGAAAGGCAAAAUCCUCACUCUGGGAUAGAUUUAUUUCUCAUCUGGGCUGUUUUAUCACCAUGCCUGAGAGCCACCCAAAUCCCAGAAGACAAUUGCCCCUGUAGACCACGUGAGUUAGCAGAGCUGACUUCUUCAGACCAUGGUUGGGAGAGUGAAGAGUUUGGGUGCUUCUUUUUUCUUUCUUUCAGCCCUAUAAACAUUUGAGCUAUUUGUGAGUGUUAUUUCCCCCUUUAGGACAAUGUGCUCCAGUUUGGGUUCUUUUUGCUUUGUUUACUCAAUAAUUGGUACAGCAAGAGGGAUGCACCUGUUCCACGGGCCCAUUAGACACAGAAUUGCUUCUCUCCGGAGCUGAGGCUGAGGCAUUCAGGCAAACCAAUCCAUCAGUUGGCAUUCAAAUUCACACUGCAGUGGAAAAGAGAGAAGGUUGGGGGAAGAUCAAGAUGCAAUCUGCCAGUC
rnacentral:lncRNA from 1 species